rnacentral:rRNA from 1 species
GUGCCAGCCGCCGCGGUAAUACGAAGGUGGCAAGCGUUGUUCGGAUUCACUGGGCGUACAGGGUGUGUAGGCGGUUUGGUAAGCCUUCUGUUAAAGCUUCGGGCCCAACCCGGAAAGCGCAGAGGGUACUGCCAGGCUAGAGGGCGGGAGAGGAGCGCGGAAUUCCCGGUGUAGCGGUGAAAUGCGUAGAGAUCGGGAGGAAGGCCGGUGGCGAAGGCGGCGCUCUGGAACGUACCUGACGCUGAGACACGAAAGCGUGGGGAGCAAACAGGAUUAGAUACCCCCGUAGUCC